rnacentral:rRNA from 1 species
GGGUGAUGGCGUGCCUUUUGUAGAAUGAACCGGCGAGUUACGAUCUGAUGCAAGGUUAAGCAGCGAAUGUGGAGCCGUAGCGAAAGCGAGUCUGAAUAGGGUGUUGAGUAUUUGGUCGUAGACCCGAAACCAGGUGAUCUACCCUUGGUCAGGUUGAAGUUCAGGUAACACUGAAUGGAGGACCGAACCGACUUACGUUGAAAAGUGAGCGGAUGAACUGAGGGUAGCGGAGAAAUUCCAAUCGAACUUGGAGAUAGCUGGUUCUCUCCGAAAUAGCUUUAGGGCUAGCCUCAAGGUGAGAGAUACGGAGGUAGAGCACUGAAUGUCCUAGGGGGUAUUGCACCUACCGAAGACUAUCAAACUCCGAAUGCCGUCAUCUUAUACUUGGGAGUCAGACUGUGGGUGAUAAGAUUCAUAGUCGAAAGGGCAACAGCCCAGAUCGUCAGCUAAGGUCCCUAAAUGUAAGUUAAGUGGUAAAGGAUGUGGGAUUGCACAGACAACCAGGAUGUUGGCUUAGAAGCAGCCACUCAUUCAAAGAGUGCGUAAUAGCUCACUGGUCGAGUGAUCCUGCGCCGAAGAUUUCCGGGGCUAAAACUUACUACCGAAGCUACGGCAUCAGUAAUGAUGGGUAGGGGAGCUUCCCAUACGGGUUGAAGCAUGACCGUAAGGACAUGUGGACAGUAUGGGAGUGAGAAUGUUGGCAUGAGUAGCGAGAUGUGGGUGAGAAUCCCACAGGCCGUAAACCCAAGGUUUCCAGGGGAAGGUUCGUCCGCCCUGGGUUAGUCGGGACCUAAGCUGAGGCCGAAAGGCGUAGGUGAUGGACAACAGGUUGAUAUUCCUGUACUACCGAUAACCGUUUGAGAGAAGGGAUGACACAGUAGGAUAAGCUAAGCACACUGUUGGUUAUGUGUGCCCAAGCAUUGAGGCAGUCAAAGUAGGCAAAUCCGCUUUGAUAAUGCUGGGAUGUGAUGGGGAGCGAAAUUUAGUAGCGAAGUAGCUGAUUUCACACUGUCAAGAAAAGUCUCUAUCGAGGUUAAAGGUACCCGUACCGCAAACCGACACAGGUGGGUGAGGAGAGUAUCCUAAGGCCAGCGAGAGAACUGUUGUUAAGGAACUCGGCAAAAUGACCCCGUAACUUAGGGAUAAGGGGUGCCACCAUCAGGUGGCCGCAGAGAAUAGGCCCAAGCGACUGUUUACCAAAAACAUAGGUUUCUGCUAAGUCGCAAGACGAUGUAUAGGAGCUGACGCCUGCCCGGUGCUGGAAGGUUAAGGGGAUCUGUUAGAGCAAUCGAAGCAGUGAACUUAAGCCCCAGUAAACGGCGGCCGU